AUGAGAGUGAGAAGUGGGUAUUUGAGGAGGAAAUAUUCACGCGUAUUUCGCGCAGCCGUGCGAUAGAAAUAAAAACAAAAAUAGGAAUCGAUGCAAAUCAAAACAAAAACAAAAAUUUGCAUUCUUUAGUUACUGGCUGUUCAGUGAAUUUGGAAAUUUGAAUCAAAAACGUUAAAAUCGUAGCAUCUGCAGCAUAAAUUCGCUAGUGUAAGUUUAAAUUAGUGGCGGAGAGCUUACACACGUAAAGUAGCUGCACUACACGAUUGUUAGAUUUGUAGAAGAAGGAGGCAAAGGUGAUCAUUCGAAAGAUAAUUGGGAAAUCCCAGAUCAAAAAGAUCGAUUAUCGCAGGAAGUGAUCGCGGUUGUAUAGAGAAUAUCGCAAGAGGAGAAGAAAACUAUUUCUUUCUGAGCGUAAAACGACUGCUACAAAAAGGAAGUU
rnacentral:lncRNA from 1 species